rnacentral:miRNA from 1 species
UGGAAUGUUAAGAAGUGUGACU